rnacentral:rRNA from 1 species
UGAGGAAUAUUGGUCAAUGGACGGAAGUCUGAACCAGCCAAGUAGCGUGCAGGAUGACGGCCCUAUGGGUUGUAAACUGCUUUUGUAUGGGGAUAAAGUUAGGGACGUGUCCCUAUUUGCAGGUACCAUACGAAUAAGGACCGGCUAAUUCCGUGCCAGCAGCCGCGGUAAUACGGAAGGUCCAGGCGUUAUCCGGAUUUAUUGGGUUUAAAGGGAGCGUAGGCUGGAUAUUAAGUGUGUUGUGAAAUGUAGACGCUCAACGUCUGACUUGCAGCGCAUACUGUUUUCCUUGAGUACGCACAACGUUGGCGGAAUUCGUCGUGUAGCGGUGAAAUGCUUAGAUAUGACGAAGAACUCCGAUUGCGAAGGCAGCUGACGGGAGCGCAACUGACGCUUAAGCUCGAAGGUGCGGGUAUCAAACAGG